GCGUUUAGUUUAAAUUAAAUAAAACCAAAAUUCCUCCUACUUUUCUCAUCACCAAACCUUCUCCAGCAAGUCCUAGGGCUCCUCGCACGUCGUCGGCAUCGGAGAUGGCGACACAGGAUUGGCCGCGCAUCUUAAUUUCAGAACUGCAAGGACCCCCCUCUCUCCCUCUUCUCUCUCCCACCGAAAAACUCAAGCCGAGUAAUGUGACCAUAAAAAACCCUAAGAGAAAUACUAGAGCAACCGUGGUCCUGUGAUUUGAUGCAUUCUCCUUUGUAAGCUGCAGUUUAUCCACUGGAGACGGUGAGAAUUCAGUGCUGUUAUGUAUAGUGUGCUUUCCUGCUUUGGUUGUCGUUGUUGUUGUUGUUAUUAUGGCUUCUGUUUGAUUAUAUAAUCUUCAUUUGGAUUUGGCGUCGAUUUUGUGUCUUGGUGCCAAGAAGAUGUAUAAGAACCAGUUACAAGAGCUAGCGCAGCGGAGCUGCUUCAAUCUGCCGUCGUAUACGUGCAUCAGGGAAGGUCCCGAUCACGCGCCGCGGUUCAAGGCGGCCGUCAACUUCAACGGGGAGACGUUUGAAUGCCCUAGCUACUGCACCACUCUCCGCCAGGCGGAGCAUUCCGCCGCUGAAGUAGCGCUCAAUGCUCUCUCUGGCCGCGGUCCUUCCAACUCACUUGCAGCUAGAAUUCUGUUUAUUCCUGCUCAGAUGAAAAGGAAAAGAGUAGAUAAUGGCGGACAUGUGGACGAGACGGGGGUAUAUAAGAAUCUACUGCAGGAGGUUUCUCAAAGAGUCGGUGCAUGUUUGCCGAAAUAUUCAACUUUCAGAAGUGGUCUUGGACACCUUCUAGUUUUCACCUGUACUGUAGAAUUGGCAGGGGUUAUAUUUACUGGCGAUCCAGCUAAGAACAGGAAGCAAGCAGAAAAGAAUGCUGCCAUGACAGCUUGGUUCUCUCUCAAAUCAUUACUGCAGAAAUCCGAAACAUUCCAUGAAAAGAACCACAAGGAUGAGCUAGAGCACGUCACUGUAGCUCAUGCUCUGCAGCAGUAUCUGGUAAAAGCAAGAACUGCGAAGGUGCCUUUUCCAAUCAAAUUCCCGACAGUAAGUCCAAAGCUGGCAAGCACAUUUCCAUCCCCGCCUGCAACCUUGAAACUUCUUCCAUUGAUUUGCCCAAGGACAGGCCAACAAAACAGACCAACUGCACCAUUGAGCAACACCUCAACAUUCCAAAAAUAUGUUCGAACAAAGCAAAGCGAGCUGGAAACCGCAGUUUCAAAUGAGAGCCUUUCAAUGGUGAUGGAGAACCUUAGACACCGACUAGCGCAGAAGUUCCCUGCCGCAGAAGCAGCACCCUACAUUCCAUUCCGGCAUUGCAACCCUCGCCGAAGAAUCGCCCCACCAGUAACGAUCCGCACCACAGUUCCUGUAUUCUCUCCACCGCCGGCGCUUCCGUCUCCCCAACCGUCAUUAGCUCUGAGACCUCCAGCAUUGGGUAUUGCGCCACCUAUCUCUGUAAAACAAGCUGUUCCUGCAUAUGCUAGCACACAUGUCCCGUUCGAGAAGCUACCCCUGGUACAACCACCAUCUAUACAGGAUGAUACUCACCUUUUCAGAUCUACAAUGGCUAGAGCAGAGCAGCCACCGAUGUUUCGAACUCUGUCAGGUAGACUAGAAGAUUCGCGUGUCUCCAGGCUUCCAGUGUUUCAAGUCGAGGAGCCUCGUAGCUGUAAGUUAUCGCCUGCCGCUAUGGUGCAGUAUUCGGAACACACCUUACCUCCAUCUGAGAUAUUCACAGCUCCAGUCGAGCCUUGGGUUUCAAAUAUUACCCCUGCCAAUUCAAAGCCGGCUUGUGGUGAGGUAUUGUCGACUAUAAAUGCUGUGCAGGACAAGCUGCAGGAGCUGAAGAUCCAAAAGAAGUGAAGAUAUAAUCGGAGGGAAUUGAAAAUUCGCAAGAAAACAGCGCAGUAAGCUUCUUUUGAUAUGACAUAAGAUUACUAUUACUACAGAAAGAGUGGUCAAACUCAAAUCCUGACAUUUGGCGACUGGGAAAAUGCCAACAGCCUCCCCAUAACUCAGUGCUUCGAGUGCGGCAGGCAGCCAGGCCGGGCGGCCUCCUCGCUGCAGCUGCUCCUCCAGAGAAUGCUCAAACAAUAAUAACGCCGCCGAUCUCUAUGGCGUUGGUUUUGGAUACGGAUUUGGAUUUGAGAAACCUCUCCCUCCUGUCUCAGUCCCACGCCGGAAUUUAUGCUGCUGCACCUGUUCCUCACAAAAAGGUGAGAUCAUCACCAUCACCAUCAUCAUCAUCAUCCCUUUUUCUUGGGAUGUGCAGAACCCAACAACUGUGUUUAAUUUUGUUUGUUCAAUCUCCAGCUAAUUGAUGAAUUGAAGUCAGUCAAGAUAGUUUCCAACUGUUUCUUGUCCGAAUCUGGUUGUUUGCUUGCUAAUUAUGUCUCUGUUUUGCUCCAUUCUUUGCCCACAAUUUUGAAUAGAAUAGAACAAAUUUUACCUUUUGAUUUAUAUGAAUGAAUGUUU